rnacentral:ncRNA from 1 species
GUGGGAGAACUGAUUCGUCAGUGCCGAAGGAGCAACCGCCCCGGAAACUCUCAGGCCCCCGGACCGCGACG